rnacentral:rRNA from 1 species
UGCCAGCAGCCGCGGUAAUAUGGAGGGGGCGUGCGUUAUUCGGAAUUAUUGGGCGUAAAGGGCGCGUAGGCGGCCAGGCAAGUCAGGGGUGAAAUCCCUCGGCUCAACCGAGGAACUGCCUCUGAAACUGCAUGGCUUGAGACCGGGAGAGGGUGGUGGAAUUCCAAGUGUAGCGGUGAAAUGCGUAGAUAUUUGGAGGAACACCCGUGGCGAAGGCGGCCACCUGGACCGGUUCUGACGCUGAGGCGCGAAAGCAUGGGGAGCAAACAGGAUUAGAUA